rnacentral:rRNA from 1 species
GAUUUCUGGCAUGGUGUGCCUGGCCCGCGCCGUUCGGUUGCGAGUGUUGGGUGGCGCCUGCCAUCUGUCUAGAGCGCGGCUCUACCCCUCACGGGGCCGGAGCUUGCCAUCUAGACCUUUUACUUUGAAAAAAUUAGAGUGUUUCAAGCAAGCUUCUGCUGUGAAUACAUUAGCAUGGAAUAAUCAGCUAGGACUUCGGUUCUAUUUGGUUGGUUUCUAGGACUGAAGUAAUGAUUGAUAGGGAUAGUUGGGGGUGCUAGUAUUCAGCGGCCAGAGGUGAAAUUCUCGGAUUCGCUGAAGACUCACUAAUGCGAAAGCAUU